rnacentral:rRNA from 1 species
GACGAACGCUGGCGGCGUGCUUAACACAUGCAAGUCGAACGGAAAGGCCCUGCUUUUGUGGGGUGCUCGAGUGGCGAACGGGUGAGUAACACGUGAGUAACCUGCCCUUGACUUUGGGAUAACUUCAGGAAACUGGGGCUACUACCGGAUAGGAGCUCCUGCUGCAUGGUGGGGGUUGGAAAGUUUCGGCGGUUGGGGAUGGACUCGCGGCUUAUCCGCUUGUUGGUGGGGUAGUGGCUUACCAAGGCUUUGACGGGUAGCCGGCCUGAGAGGGUGACCGGCCACAUUGGGACUGAGAUACGGCCCAGACUCCUACGGGAGGCAGCAGUGGGGAAUAUUGCACAAUGGGCGGAAGCCUGAUGCAGCAACGCCGCGUGCGGGAUGACGGCCUUCGGGUUGUAAACCGCUUUCGCCUGUGACGAAGCGUGAGUGACGGUAAUGGGUAAAGAAGCACCGGCUAACUACGUG